GAUGAACGCUGGCGGCGUGCCUAAUACAUGCAAGUCGAGCGAACGGACGAGAAGCUUGCUUCUCUGAUGUUAGCGGCGGACGGGUGAGUAACACGUGGAUAACCUACCUAUAAGACUGGGAUAACUUCGGGAAACCGGAGCUAAUACCGGAUAAUAUUUUGAACCGCAUGGUUCAAAAGUGAAAGACGGUCUUGCUGUCACUUAUAGAUGGAUCCGCGCUGCAUUAGCUAGUUGGUAAGGUAACGGCUUACCAAGGCAACGAUGCAUAGCCGACCUGAGAGGGUGAUCGGCCACACUGGAACUGAGACACGGUCCAGACUCCUACGGGAGGCAGCAGUAGGGAAUCUUCCGCAAUGGGCGAAAGCCUGACGGAGCAACGCCGCGUGAGUGAUGAAGGUCUUCGGAUCGUAAAACUCUGUUAUUAGGGAAGAACAUAUGUGUAAGUAACUGUGCACAUCUUGACGGUACCUAAUCAGAAAGCCACGGCUAACUACGUGCCAGCAGCCGCGGUAAUACGUAGGUGGCAAGCGUUAUCCGGAAUUAUUGGGCGUAAAGCGCGCGUAGGCGGUUUUUUAAGUCUGAUGUGAAAGCCCACGGCUCAACCGUGGAGGGUCAUUGGAAACUGGAAAACUUGAGUGCAGAAGAGGAAAGUGGAAUUCCAUGUGUAGCGGUGAAAUGCGCAGAGAUAUGGAGGAACACCAGUGGCGAAGGCGACUUUCUGGUCUGUAACUGACGCUGAUGUGCGAAAGCGUGGGGAUCAAACAGGAUUAGAUACCCUGGUAGUCCACGCCGUAAACGAUGAGUGCUAAGUGUUAGGGGGUUUCCGCCCCUUAGUGCUGCAGCUAACGCAUUAAGCACUCCGCCUGGGGAGUACGACCGCAAGGUUGAAACUCAGAGGAAUUGACGGGGACCCGCACAAGCGGUGGAGCAUGUGGUUUAAUUCGAAGCAACGCGAAGAACCUUACCAAAUCUUGACAUCCUUUGACAACUCUAGAGAUAGAGCCUUCCCCUUCGGGGGACAAAGUGACAGGUGGUGCAUGGUUGUCGUCAGCUCGUGUCGUGAGAUGUUGGGUUAAGUCCCGCAACGAGCGCAACCCUUAAGCUUAGUUGCCAUCAUUAAGUUGGGCACUCUAAGUUGACUGCCGGUGACAAACCGGAGGAAGGUGGGGAUGACGUCAAAUCAUCAUGCCCCUUAUGAUUUGGGCUACACACGUGCUACAAUGGACAAUACAAAGGGCAGCGAAACCGCGAGGUCAAGCAAAUCCCAUAAAGUUGUUCUCAGUUCGGAUUGUAGUCUGCAACUCGACUACAUGAAGCUGGAAUCGCUAGUAAUCGUAGAUCAGCAUGCUACGGUGAAUACGUUCCCGGGUCU
rnacentral:rRNA from 1 species